CCCCUAGAUGUUCUGGGCCGCACGCGCGCUACACUGAACAGUUCAACAAGUCUUAACCUUGGCCGAUAGGUCUGGGUAAUCUUUGAACGCUGUUCGUGAUUGGGAUAGACCUUUGCAAUUAUGGGUCUUCAACGAGGAAUUCCUGGUAAACGCAAGUCAUCAGCUUGCAUUGAUUGCGUCCCUGCCCUUUGUACACGCCGCCCGUCGCACCUACCGAUUGAAUGGUCCGGUGAAAUCUCGGGACGGCGGCUUGGUCGCUUGCGUCCGACUGCUGAAACUUGAUUAAACCAUAUCAUUUAGAGGAAGGUGAANUCGUANCG
rnacentral:rRNA from 1 species